AACACAAGGUCCAAGCUCUGCUGGACCGCAAAAGGGCGACAGCGCCGAACCGGAGGCCGUUUAGGACCGAAGGAAAGCAACAAGCACGUGCGUAGCAACCUGUCGUCCGAUCAAGGGAGGACGGUCGGCCUCGACCAAACGCAUGAGCUCUUCGCAACUUACAAUCGGCCACGGGCUUCCAAACGUCGGAGCCUAAGGCUGGCACCUGGGAAAAGCUCCUACUUUGCCCAUGGCUUGCCUUUGACCUCUGAAGUACUGAACGGAACGCCAGCACGCCCUCUGUUUGUUACCUCUUUUGCCAGGGGUUUCACCACGCACGCUACAUGUUCAGCACUCCACGCAUGCUUAGCUUCAGGCUACCGAUUGAACUGUGAAAGGAACGAAGAAGAACUUCUUGUGACCAGCAGUUUUAUGCAUAAAGUCGCGGGGCAGUACCAGAUAGACAAGGGACAGCGGGUAGCCUAUUUGUGUGUCAUCCUGCCUUUCUGGGGGAGUACUGGACCCAUGGCACUGGCAUUCGGUAUUUG
rnacentral:lncRNA from 1 species